UUCCACUAGCUGAUGAGGCGGGGCACACAUCAGCUGUUUCACCACCAUAGUGUGUCGAAACCAGUCUUCAAGAUAAUGAACACUGUCCUGUUACAGACCUGAUGGACACUUGUACAGCAAACAUCAAUGGCAUUGCUGAAGUGUAAGGUUGAUAGCAAGAAACACAAGGAAACAAACACAGAAAAAAAGCAAUAUGGCGAUCAGAGGAAAAGGAUCCCGUUCCUCCAUACUACAGGAGGACCAGUCUAAUAUACUGCCAAAACAGGAGAGCAUUGAUAAAAAGCCAAAUUUUUCUCAUGGUUCUGGUGCUCCAGAACAGUGUCAACCUGACGUAUCUGAAAAGGCCCAUGAUAAGAAAAUGAGAACAUGACUACAGUAACAUCUUCAGCCUGCUCUACCACCUCCACCCAGUGGAGGAAUAUGGAACUACCUACAAAAUUUUUUUUAUUCUCAUCUUAUGUUUAUUGUCUGUGUAUUGUUGCUGUCUCUGUGUACUGGAAGCUAAUGACACUAAAAGAAAAUUCCUAGUAUGUACAAGCAUACUUGGCAAUAAAAUCUCUUUCUGAUUCUGAUUCUGAUACCUGAAAGUUUAUGAAUUUAUUCGCUGAUUAAAAACACUACAAUAUGACUUUAACUCUAACUCUAACUCAUGUUGUAAGAUGCCUCCAGAGUGACAUUAACCCAAAAGCCAUUCACUGUGGAUUCACUGUCCAAUUUUCCUUCUCCUUACAGACACUCAGAUAUAAUGCAAUAGGAGAGGAGCAGCUGAAGGAACUUUGAGAAGGACCAAGACCUUUGAGGAGUUAUCUUUGCAUUGACGCUACACACUAAAUACUUGUCACACAAUGAUUGCUUUUACAAAACACAGGAUUUUACAUGCGUGUUUGAGAUGAAGCCCAUGAAUCAGCUGUCUGAAACACAAGAGAGGAUGAUGCUACAGAUUUACAACUUAUCUAAACACAUCACAGAAGACUGAUCAGGAAUUACAAAAAAUCUCUCAACAGGUGCACUACUGAACUCUACCGGGCAAUAUACUGUGAAUAAUUUGAACAAAUGUGAUGAUUUGUAGUUUUAUAUGAAUUUUUAUGUGUAACCUGAGUUACAUAAUCAGAUUACAAAAAUCAGUAACAGUUAUAUUUGAACUGCUUUAUCGGCAUGCGCUGUAGUCUUUUUGACACGAUCGACCCGGGUUUGAAUCCGCUAUUUGCAGAACAUUUUUUUUUCUCUCUUUAAAUCUCAUAUCACAUCAAAACAGCACUUGUUUUCAAUAUGGUUA